CACGUAGGCACCAAGCGUUGUCCGGAUUUAUUGGGCGUAAAGAGCUCGUAGGCGGUUCGGUAAGUCGGGUGUGAAAACUUUGGGCUUAACCCAAAGACUGCACUCGAUACUGCUGUGACUUGAGUCCGGUAGGGGAGUGGGGAAUUCCUGGUGUAGCGGUGGAAUGCGCAGAUAUCAGGAGGAACACCGGUGGCGAAGGCGGCUCUCUGGGCCUUACCUGACGCUGAGGAGCGAAAGCUGGGGGAGCGAACAGG
rnacentral:rRNA from 1 species